UUGGGAAUCUUCGGCAAUGGACGAAAGUCUGACCGAGCAACGCCGCGUGAGUGAAGAAGGUUUUCGGAUCGUAAAACUCUGUUGUUAGAGAAGAACAAGGACGUUAGUAACUGAACGUCCCCUGACGGUAUCUAACCAGAAAGCCACGGCUAACUACGUGCCAGCAGCCGCGGUAAUACGUAGGUGGCAAGCGUUGUCCGGAUUUAUUGGGCGUAAAGCGAGCGCAGGCGGUUUCUUAAGUCUGAUGUGAAAGCCCCCGGCUCAACCGGGGAGGGUCAUUGGAAACUGGGAGACUUGAGUGCAGAAGAGGAGAGUGGAAUUCCAUGUGUAGCGGUGAAAUGCGUAGAUAUAUGGAGGAACACCAGUGGCGAAGGCGGCUCUCUGGUCUGUAACUGACGCUGAGGCUCGAAAGCGUGGGAGCAAACAGG
rnacentral:rRNA from 1 species